rnacentral:lncRNA from 1 species
CCUUUUACUUCCUUGCGAGUCAUAGAGCUGUAGGGGGAUAGACGUCUUCCCGCACUCAGGCGCCGGUUGAGGCUGCGCUCCUGGCGAAGGACAGGUGCUCCUUUCAGCCGGUUAACGUUCAGCUCAAGACCGGAUUAAGUCUCUUGCUCUCCAAAUAAAAUUGUAAAGGUUUGGAAAUAUAGAACCACAUUUUUACCAAAAACCUACUAGAGAGCAUUCGUCAGCUUGCCCUUUUCGCCCCGAAAAACGACUUUUUCAUUCACAGCCUGUCUCUUCCUCUUUUUAAAUUUAUGCCGACAGAGGAAGAAGCUGAUAUUUAACAAAUAACAAGAGGUUGCGAUAAAUAGAAUUUAAGGUGGGAAAGCAGCCGCCAAACUGACAAAUCGUCUUCGAGACCGACAAGAAAAUAGUAGUCCGGAAUUUGGCUAAUGGAUGGAGAAGGUGGUCGUUUUUCAUAGACCCUUACGGAGAAUAUCUAGUGAAGCUAAAGAGAUCACCAUAAACUUAUGCAUUCAAACGCAUUUCUGGAACAGAGGUCGUAACCGAUUUUGUUUCCAUCAUCAGUCCUGAACAGUUGAUUAUUUAUAUAAUCAACUGUUAUUUAUAUAAAGGUAAUAAAAAUAUUACCUUUCCUCCUCCUUUACAAUGAAUAUCUGUUAGAACACCUGCCAGUGUAACAAUCAGACUACAAGGCUACAGGAUUAUGAUUACUGUCUCGGAUGAUGAGCCCGGGGUCCUACAAAUCAUGACCCCCGCCGGCCCCUCAUUCUGCCCAUAUUUGCCAAACGUCUGCAUCAGUAAUUUGAAUAAUUUAAAAUAGUUCCAAAACAGCAAAGCUCAGCAGUUACGCAAAGAAACAAGAAUGGAAAACAUCCCCUCAGGCACAGAGAAGUGUCCACCCCUUUGGGUGGAGGAAUUAUACAAAUCAGGAGAAAGAUAAGGACAAUAGCAGUUCAUCACGAUUUAUCCCGCCUCUGCAAUGUUCUAGACAAAUUAACUCGGAGCGCUCCAAUGGACCCGCAUUUGUCUCUUUACUAUUCAAUCGCUGUAAGAUAUACGGAGACUGCAUCACUUUAAAUGGGAGUAUCAAUUGCUUUGUGGUUAUGCUGGAUUUUGUGUUAUUGCUCAGUCACUAAAAUUUAUCUAGACAUAUUCUUUUGCUACAUGAGGACCAGCGUUC